AUGGAGACAGACUUUCAAUGACGAUUGAUUCACUACUAGUGAUGAUUUGCAAGCAACGAGUAACUUUGACCAAGAUCGGUUCUAGUCAACUAUAGUGAAUCCACUAGUAGUCACGCCGGGAUGAUUGAGGAAUGCAUAACGGAUUGUACAUGCCUUCCUAAAACGCCCCCAGUCAUUAUGGAAAUAGACUUUCAAUGAUGAUUGAUUCACUACUAGUGAUGAUUUGCAAGCAACGAGUAACUUUGACCAAGAUCGGUUGUAGUCAACUAUAGUGAAUCCACUAGUAGUCACGCCGGGAUGAUUGAGGAAUGCAUAACGGAUUGUACAUGCCUUCCUAAAACGCCCCCAGUCAUUAUGGAGACAGACUUUCAAUGACGAUUGAUUCACUACUAGUGAUGAUUUGCAAGCAACGAGUAACUUUGACCAAGAUCGGUUCUAGUCAACUAUAGUGAAUCCACUAGUAGUCACGCUGGGAUGAUCGAGGAAUGCAUAACGGAUUGUACAUGCCUUCCUAAAAUGCCCCCAGUCAUUAUGGAGACGGACUUUCAAUGAUGAUUGAUACCUGAUAGUGAUGAUUUGCAAGCAACGAGUAACUUUGACCAAGAUCGGUUCUAGUCAACUAUAGUGAAUCCACUAGUAGUCACGCUGGGAUGAUCGAGGAAUGCAUAACGGAUUGUACAUGCCUUCCUAAAACGCCAGCAGUCAUUAUGGAAACGGACUUUCAAUGAUGAUUGAUACCUGAUAGUGAUGAUUUGCAAGCAACGAGUAACUUUGACCAAGAUCGGUUCUAGUCAACUAUAGUGAAUCCACUAGUAGUCACGCUGGGAUGAUCGGGGAAUGCAUAACAGAUCGUACAUGCCUUCCUAAAACGCCAGCAGUCAUUAUGGAAACGGACUUUCAAUGAUGAUUGAUACCUACAACUGAUGAUUUGCAAGCAACGAGUAACUUUGACCAAGAUCGGUUGUAGUCAACUAUAGUGAAUCCACUAGUAGUCACGCCGGGAUGAUUGAGGAAUGCAUAACGGAUUGUACAUGCCUUCCUAAAACGCCCCCAGUCAUUAUGGAAACGGACUUUCAAUGAUGAUUGAUUCACUACUAGUGAUGAUUUGCAAGCAACGAGUAACUUUGAAAGACAUAUGCUAUACAUUUAUUUUUUAAAAUUAUUUAUUUGAAAACCCAAAACUAACAACAAUGAAAAAUUAAAAAAUUAAUAUUGGUUCAAACGAGUUAACCCGACCAAACUGAAAAAAAUCAUUGGGCGGGUUACACUUUUUUAUUUUUUUUCCGUUGGGCGGGUUUCAAUUAGAUAUUUGCAACCCGACAUUUAUAUUGGGUUGGUAAAAAUAUACUAUAUCCCGACCAAACUAAUCGAUGUACACCCGUAGAUAUUAAUAUUUAGUCUAACAUAUGUCAUUGAGCAACACAAUGACAAGUGUGUAGUCUUAUCAAUGGUACUACAUCCUUAUUAAUAAUCAAAUAAGUAAAAUAAAUAAAUAAAUAAAGACAAAACAAAAAAAGACAAAAGAGUUAGGUAUAUAAUAAUCAUCCAUCUCCAUAUAUAUAUAUCUCACUACUCAAUAAACAAAGAUUACCAUUUACCAAACUUAUCUCACCUCCUAACUUCAACUCAAUCCUUAUUUUUUCAAUACCCUCUACUAGUUCACUAUAACUUGCAUACUUAUUGCGAAUGGAAAAUCAUGAAGCAAUACCCUCUACAGGUUCACUGAAUAAAUCUUCUCAUGAAAAUAGCGAUUCUGGAUUCGUGCACCAUUUGUCACUACCUCCAUCUCCUUUACGCUAUCUUAAUCACAUUGAGAAGAGGCUAUGGGAUGCUGAGCAAAAAAUAUUGCUAGCCGAUGAACAGAAAAAGCUUUUGGUAUCACAAGUUUCUUAUUACAAAACAAAAAUCUCAGAUCUACAGCAUGAUUUAAAAAUCCAUCGACAAAUAUCUUCCAGGGAUGCGAAUGACGUUGGUAGACUAAAAAGGGCCUUGGCACAUAUGAAGCACGAAGCAUGUACUCAAUACAAAAGAAACCUUGAAAUGAUGAUUGGUGGUGACAGUGGAUCUGAAAAAACAGCAGGUCCCUAGUCAACUCUAAUUUACUAUGAUGAGGUGUUACUGAUGUUAAAUUAUGUAGUGUGAACAAUGUUUGAUUUAAGUAGUUACUACCAUAUUCAUGUUUUGAAUGUAUUAUUUUCGUAUUUCUAUGUCUAAUGUAUUUUGAGUUGUCAUCUAUUUUAAUAUACAUGAACAACUAUUUCUUAAUAUUUAUUUGCCUUUGAAAAAAACCUUACAAAUAAUAAUAAAAAAAUUAAAAAGCAUCUACUUAACUGUAUAAAAUAAUAUACCACAUAAUGUCAAAAGGACACUUAUAUAAUAAUAUAUUUUUAAAACACAUUUGGUAUAGUGAUAUGUCUUAUAUAAAUACCCCUAAAUAGAGAAUGCUUAGAAUACCACUUACUAUUAUAUUGCACUUGCAUAUAAAAACUCUUUAAGUUAACUAUGUCUUCCUCUCUUGUGACUUCUAUCAAUACUCGUCCAAAGUGCCAUUGUGGCACAGAUUCGGUGUGCCGAACUUCAAGGAGUGAAGAGAACCCUGGUAGAAGAUUUUGGGGGUGUGGAAACUAUGAUCGAGAUUCUUGUAAGGUAUGUCAUUUUUUCGAGUGGGUGGAUCCAGAUGUUCUGGUUGGAGCUAAUGUAGUAUUGCAGAGGUUGGAAAGAAAAAUUGAGGACCAAAGUAAAGAGAUCAAGUUACUUAAGAAAUUUGUGUUAUUCCUAAUUUGUGUUGAACUAAUAAAAUUAUUGUUGUAUUGAAAAUGUAUAACUAAUCCAUGAUAUGAGUGUUUUUCUUAUUAAACUUAUGUAAUCAGUAGUUUGAGUUAAUAUGUUGUAAUGUAUAAUUAAUAUCAUGGAUUCUUAUUAUAAUAUUAAUGUGUUAUGUUGUUGGUUACAAAAAAAAAAUGUCAUAAUUAUUAUUAUUAUUA